GGAAGCAAUACAAGUACAUAACAAUCUAAAGAAAGCUUCUCAAAGUACAAUAACCAAAUUACACUUUGAAAAUACAAAGAAAGACAAAUAUUUAUUUGAAGUUACUUUUCUAACGGGAGACAAAUUCAGAAUUUUUACUUUAUCGUUCUGAAUUAUAAUUUUUUAUUUAUUAAUUUUUUUUGGAUGUUUCUAGAGUUUAUUAUUGUCUGUUUGCAUUUUGGGAGGAUCACGCUUUGAUGGAGGUUUUGAUUGAACAGCAAGAUCUUCUCGUACUAUAAUUUUCUCACAUACCACCUUUGUUAUUUCUAGUGCACCCUCCCCUUCCAUCUUGAUGAUAUCUUGUGAUGGAGUCUCUUUGUCAUCUCCUUCCUCAUGUUCCACCUUUGGUUUUUCUUGUGCAUCAUCUCCUUUGUUGUUGAUAUCUUGGGAUGGAGUCUCUUUUUCAACUAUUUUCUCUUUUUCAUAUUCUUCCUCCUCAUACUCAACCUUUAGUUUUUCUUGUGCAUCAUCAUCUCCUUCAAUCUUGAUGAUAUAUUGGGAUAUAGUCUCCUUUUCAACAAUUUUCUCCUUUACAUAUCCUCCCUCCUCAUGUUCCAUCUUUGGUAUUUCUUGUGUAUCAUCUCCUGUUAAAACAUAUGAAGAGAUGGUAU
rnacentral:misc_RNA from 1 species